UCUGGGAGAAAAGCGUAAGCAAAGCGAUUUGCCCGGUGUUUUAGACCUUUUUGAGGUACUUCACUCUAUCAUGA